GCCUGGGUGGCUCAGUCAGUUAAGCGUCUGACUUCGGCUCAGGUCAUGAUCUCACGGUUCGUGAGUUCAAGCCCCACAUCAGGCU
rnacentral:tRNA from 1 species